rnacentral:rRNA from 1 species
CCUGGACGGAGCAUACCGCGUGCGGGAGGAGGCCCUUGGGUCGUAAACCGCUUUUCUUAGGGAAGAAACCUGACGGUACCUAAGGAAUAAGCCUCGGCUAACUCCGUGCCAGCAGCCGCGGUAAUACGGAGGAGGCAAGCGUUAUCCGGAAUUAUUGGGCGUAAAGAGUCCGUAGGUGGUUGGACAAGUCUGCGGUUAAAGAGUGCAGCUCAACUGCAUAAAGGCCGUGGAAACUGUCGAACUAGAGUAUGGUAGGGGUAGGGGGAAUUCCCAGUGUAGCGGUGAAAUGCGUAGAGAUUGGGAAGAACACCGGUGGCGAAAGCGCCCUGCUGGGCCAUAACUGACACUGAGGGACGAAAGCUAGGGUAGCGAAUGGGAUUAGAUACCCCAGUAGUC